UGUGGCUCUCUUUGUGCAUUGGUUGGGGCAAUGAUUAUCGGAUGUUAUUUGACAAACCCGGAGUGAUUUGCCAUUAGUGCGCAACUAGCAACAUUGAGGAAUAUCAGUUUGAAAAUUAGCAAUCCGGCCAGUCUUUGACGAUGAUCACCUCACCGUAGACCUCAAGAGCUAUAUCGUCUCCAAUGCCAGUGACCACAACAUGCACAAGGAAUACUAGCUCAACACAUCAAGGCGGUAGUUUUAGAAAAAAGCCGUCAGUUGUAGACGGACAUGUAAGGAUAAAACCUUGUUUCAAAGAUAGAAAAUUGAAACCGUGACGAACUGGACUGCGGAGUUUCAUGAAGUGGUGGACUUUAUAGGCAAAGGGUACGAACUGCAAGGUGACAUACGCAGGGAAGCGAAGGGGAAUCUUCGCAGCCACGUUGUGGUCAACUGGUUGGGAAUAACACCUAACGUAGAAGAGCCAGUGGAAACACUUGAUUACCUAGAGAUCCUUCAGGUUAGUAUCUCAGGUUAGCAUAUUCUCUCAUAUUAUGGCGUGUAUCACUGAAAAACAGAAUUAUUCGGUAGUACCACAGCAAUCCUAUCUUGAUCCAUACAGAAUAGCUAUGACAGAUUAUUCACUAAUAAGUUUUUCUGUAUAAACUUAUGCGAUUGAUCAAAGUUACCCGGUGAUCUGGUUAACGUCAAUACCUUGCUAAGGGUCGGACAUACCAUGAGAUUUUUUUGCCUGUAUGGACUCAUCACUGCGAUCAAAGACAUUUGAUCUAUUGCGAUAUUGCCCAGGUGUUUUCUGCAAUCCGCACUUCAUAUUUUUGGCAGUAUCACUAUUGAAGUAAGUGAUGCGCUCAUCA